AGCCUCGUCAGGCUCAGUCCCCUCCCGAUAAACCUCUAAAUAGGGACUUUCCCGGGGGGUGACCCUGGCUUUUUUGGCG
rnacentral:pre_miRNA from 1 species